AGCUACUGCUAUUGGGAUUCGAUUAAGCCAUGCGAGCCGAUUGCUCUUCGGAGCAAGGCAGACUGCUCAGUAACACGUGGAUAAUCUGCCCUUAGGUGGAGGAUAAUCUUGAGAAAUUGAGCAUAAUACUCCAUAGUUCUAAUAUGCUGGAAUGCUUUUAGAACCAAAGCCACAGCGCCUAAGGAUGAGUCUGCGGACUAUCAGGUCGUAGUGAGUGUAACGGACUCACUAGCCUAUUACGGUUACGGGUCGUGAGAGCGAUUGCCCGGAGAUGGACUCUGAGACACGAGUCCAGGUCCUACGGGACGCAGCAGGCGCGAAAACUUCACAAUGCUGGCAACAGCGAUGAGGGAAUCCCAAGUGCUAACACGUUGUGUUAGCUGUUUAUCUGUCUAAAAAACAGGUAGAGUAAGGGCUGGGUAAGACCGGUGCCAGCCGCCGCGGUAAUACCGGCAGCUCAAGUGGUAGCCAUUUUUAUUGGGCCUAAAGCGUCCGUAGCCUGUCUGGUAAACCCUUGGGUAAAUCGUGUAGCUUAACUAUACGAAUACCGAGGAGACUGCCAGACUUGAGACCGGGGGAGGUCGGAGGUACUCCUAGGGUAGGGGUGAAAUCUUAUAAUCCUAGGGGGACUACCAGUGGCGAAGGCGUCCGACUAGAACGGUUCUGACGGUAAGGGACGAAACCCUGGGGCACAAACCGGAUUAGAUACCCGGGUAGUCCAGGGCGUAAACGCUGCAGGCUUGGUGUUGGGGGUCCCGCGAGGGCGUCCAGUGCCGGAGAGAAGUUGUUAAGCCUGCCGCCUGGGGAGUACGAUCGCAAGGUUGAAACUUAAAGGAAUUGGCGGGGGAGCACAGCAACGGGUGGAGCGUGCGGUUU
rnacentral:rRNA from 1 species